GCUCGACGACGGAGGCAGCCUCCCCUGAGCGGCCUGGUCUGCCUCCACCACCAGCGACGUCCCUUGCUCCGCUUCGACCCGCGCCGGCGCGGCGGAAGGCUCAUGCGCGGUGCCCGACGACGGCCCCUCGUGCGCCUCUGCGUCUGGCACCGCCACCGCCGCCUUCCUCUCCACCUCGCCUCUCAGCUCCUCGACUUCCGCGGGUGUCGGCCUCGACGUCGAAGGCGGCGCGGCCACUUGCCACUGCGGCUGGACCUGAGCAGGCACGCCAUGGUGGUAGUGUCCGCGUCCGCCUCGGUCCCCACCGACCGGCCUGGCGCCGUGGAAGGACUGGUGACCCCCUCUCUCGACACCUCCGCGGCCGCCACGCGCUGCGCCGACGGCUCCACCUCGGCCACCGCCAAGCUCCGCGCCGCCUUGGGCCCGCCAUUGGCCGCCACCGCCACGGCCGCCGGCGCCACCUCGGCCGCCCCCUCCACGGCCCCGCCCUUGGCCGUCACCUCCACGGCCUGCUGCUGCAUUGCCGCCACGCCGGCCGCCUCCGCCGUCGCGCGUCGACAUGGGCUGGGCUACGGAAACCCUACUACGGCUUGAGCGGAGGAGAUUACGGCCGAAAGGGUCGGUCUCGAGCGCAUAUUUAUCGUGGCUUUGGGGGGG
rnacentral:misc_RNA from 1 species